UAAUACGUAUGUCCCGAGCGUUAUCCGGAUUUAUUGGGCGUAAAGCGAGCGCAGACGGUUUAUUAAGUCUGAUGUGAAAGCCCGGAGCUCAACUCCGGAAUGGCAUUGGAAACUGGUUAACUUGAGUGCAGUAGAGGUAAGUGGAACUCCAUGUGUAGCGGUGGAAUGCGUAGAUAUAUGGAAGAACACCAGUGGCGAAGGCGGCUUACUGGACUGCAACUGACGUUGAGGCUCGAAAGUGUGGGUAGCAAACAGGAUUAGAUACCCUGGUAGUCCACACCGUAAACGAUGAACACUAGGUGUUAGGAGGUUUCCGCCUCUUAGUGCCGAAGCUAACGCAUUAAGUGUUCCGCCUGGGGAGUACGACCGCAAGGUUGAA
rnacentral:rRNA from 1 species